GACGAACGCUGGCGGCGUGCCUAAUACAUGCAAGUCGAACGCACUCUCGUUUAGAUUGACGGAGUUUGCUCCUGAUUGAUAAACAUUUGAGUGAGUGGCGGACGGGUGAGUAACACGUGGGUAACCUGCCCUAAAGUGGGGGAUAACAUUUGGAAACAGAUGCUAAUACCGCAUAAAACCUAACACCGCAUGGUGUAGGGUUGAAAGAUGGUUUCGGCUAUCACUUUAGGAUGGACCCGCGGUGCAUUAGUUAGUUGGUGAGGUAAAGGCUCACCAAGACCGUGAUGCAUAGCCGACCUGAGAGGGUAAUCGGCCACACUGGGACUGAGGCACGGCCCAGACUCCUACGGGAGGCAGCAGUAGGGAAUCUUCCACAAUGGACGAAAGUCUGAUGGAGCAACGCCGCGUGAGUGAAGAAGGUUUUCGGAUCGUAAAACUCUGUUGUUGGAGAAGAAUGUAUCUGAUAGUAACUGAUCAGGUAGUGACGGUAUCCAACCAGAAAGCCACGGCUAACUACGUG
rnacentral:rRNA from 1 species